rnacentral:rRNA from 1 species
UACGUAGGGUGCGAGCGUUGUCCGGAAUUAUUGGGCGUAAGGGGCUCGUAGGCGGUUUGUCGCGUCGGGAGUGAAAACCUUGGGCUUAACUCAGGGCUUGCUUUCGAUACGGGCAGACUAGAGGUAUGCAGGGGAGAACGGAAUUCCUGGUGUAGCGGUGAAAUGCGCAGAUAUCAGGAGGAACACCGGUGGCGAAGGCGGGUCUCUGGGCAACAACUGACGCUGAGGAGCGAAAGCGUGGGGAGCGAACAGG